CUCUUUGUAGACCCACACUGGAAACAAUUGCAUCUCUGUCCUCGCUUGUCCUUUCCAAGUGUUACGCAACCAAGCAAUCAAAGUUGACACUGCUUGAAUUGUAUGAAAUGAGCAGAAUGUAACUAGAAUGCACAGCAGGACACGUCGAAUCUGGUCUGUUGACAUUUCAUGUGUGAAAUUUACAUUACAAUGCCUCGUGACAUUCCUACAGAAUAGCGCGCCAAAAUUCCCACACUCUGCCGCGCACCUGCAAGUAUUGAUUUUCUGCCUUGAAAGCGACCGGGUGUCAAUUAUGCUAGUUUAUUUGGACACGAAAUUUACCUGUUGUGUCGACUCGCAAAGUGCUAUAAAAAGGGAGAGAUUAUCGUUUGGUUUCGCUAGAUCAGAAAACGUGGAUUCCAUCAAACAUAGAGAUGUAACCUGGUUACCCCUCAGAUUAAUUUAUUAAUUCCGACAGUUUACAUUUACAUACAGAUGUUUACAGUGAGCAAUAACAGAUGCAAUUUUUGUUUACAAAUGAGACAGAAUAGGAAACGUUUUGUUAUAACACAGGUGUUGAGAUUAACAUUUCCACUAGAGUUCCGUGGUCAGUUGUUCUUUUUAACUUCCUUGAUAUUGCCAUAGUAACCCAAAUCGUAGAACUUUGGUUGGAAGUUCGCAAGGAGCGUGUACUCGUGUCACAAAUGCCAAAAGUGAUUCGGCGAUUAACCAACGAAUGACUGUAUCUAGCGAUGUACAUUGUACACUUGCCCGUGCAGGAAACGAAACUGAUAACAUCGAAUUGUAUCCCAUUGUAUCUAACAACUUUCAUUCUCUAAGCUAGUAUAGUUAUGCUGAGUUGUGCAUUUCAAAUAGGCGUUGUAUUUUCUGUUGUUUUUUUGAUUUUUGUUACCCUUUUACCCUUUUUAUUUGUUUACCCACUAUUAUUAUGUUGUAAUUUUUAUUUCCCGUUAUUAUUUGGUUUUUAUUUUUUACAUACUUUAUUAUUUUUAGUUCAGUUAAUUUUUUACAAUGCCCAAUUUAUCUUUUGUUGAUUUUGUUUUGUUUUGUGUUUUCAUUUUUUAUCCCUUAUUUUAAGGUUUUAUUUUCUCAUGACGUGUAUGUUAUACAUCUUUGUACAUUUCCUUGCAAUAAACUUUUUAUUAA
rnacentral:misc_RNA from 1 species